CCUACGGGUGGCAGCAGUGGGGAAUAUUGCUCAAUGGGCGAAACCCUGAUGCAGCGACGUCGCGUGAGUGAAGAAGUAUCUCGGUAUGUAAAGCUCCAUCAGCAGGGAAGAUAAUGACGGUACCUGUCUAAGAAGCCCCGGCUAACUACGUGCCAGCAGCCGCGGUAAUACCUAGGGGGCAAGCGUUAUCCGGAUGUACUGGGUGUGAAGGGAGCGUAGGUGGCAGGGCAAGUCAGAUGUGAAAACCCGGGGGUCAACCCCGGGAGUGCAUGUGAAACUGUCCGGCUGGAGUGCAGGAGAGGUAGGCGGAAUUCGUAGUGUAGCGGUGAAAUGCAUAGAUAUUAGGAAGAACACCAGUGGCGAAGGCGGCUUACUGGACUGUAACUGACACUGAGGCUCGAAAGCGUGGGGAGCAAACAGGAUUAGAUACCCCAGUAGUC
rnacentral:rRNA from 1 species